CUUGAAGCCGGAAUCGCUAGUAAUCGCGUAUCAGCUACGACGCGGUGAAUACGUUCCUGAGCCUUGUACACACCGCCCGUCAAGUCAUGGAAGCUGUUAGUGCCCGAAGUCACCUCGUUUCAGGGGUGCCUACGGCAAGAAUGGUGACUGGGACUAAGUCGUAACAAGGUAGCCGUACCGGAAGGUGCGGCUGGAACACCU
rnacentral:rRNA from 1 species